UACGUAGGGUGCGAGCGUUGUCCGGAAUUAUUGGGCGUAGAGAGCUCGUAGGCGGUUUGUCGCGUCUGCCGUGAAAGUCCGGGGCUCAACUCCGGAUCUGCGGUGGGUACGGGCAGACUAGAGUGAUGUAGGGGAGACUGGAAUUCCUGGUGUAGCGGUGAAAUGCGCAGAUAUCAGGAGGAACACCGAUGGCGAAGGCAGGUCUCUGGGCAUUAACUGACGCUGAGGAGCGAAAGCAUGGGGAGCGAACAGG
rnacentral:rRNA from 1 species